rnacentral:rRNA from 1 species
UACGUAGGGUGCAAGCGUUGUCCGGAAUUAUUGGGCGUAAAGAGCUCGUAGGCGGUCUGUCGCGUCGGCUGUGAAAACCCGGGGCUCAACCCCGGGCCUGCAGUCGAUACGGGCAGACUAGAGUGUGGUAGGGGAGACUGGAAUUCCUGGUGUAGCGGUGAAAUGCGCAGAUAUCGGGAGGAACACCCCGUGGCGAAGGCGGUUCUCUGGGACGGUACUGACGCUGAGACGCGAAAGCGUGGGGAGCGAACAGG